CCCACCACAUCAAAGACUUUUUGACUUUCUUUGCCGUGUCGUGUAAAUGAACAACCACGUGUCCUCAUCAACACCUUCUAGGUUAGUCGUCCUCCCGUAAAUCACCCCUGAGAAUCCAACGGUUGACAGCUAAUGUUGACCAGCGCCUGAGAGGAGGUUCGGAGGAUAGAGCCUGUAUGGCUCGACGGUGAGCUGCAUUAAAGAUGAUGAGAAUCCUAUCUAUAUUUUUGAACUUUCAUCGAAGAUUAUGGUGAUCAUAGCUCCCAAAUCUUCGAUGGGACUUCCUUGAUGUGGAU
rnacentral:lncRNA from 1 species